CUCUCCGGAAGCCGCUUUGCCUUCCGGAAAUGGUUACGUGAAGGCGGCCUUGACCUCCUGGAGGCGAAGUGGCGAUGUCUGUGGGGUCCCGGCUGUGGGGCCGCAGGGGGCUGUUCCCCGAGCACUGGCUCGCUUGCUUCUCUCCCACGCCCGGGGUCCCAGGGCCAGCGAGGGGAGGGACGGGGGUCCGCACGACCACACGGCACGCUGGGUUCCUCGGCUCCCGAGGCCGGGACCCCUGGUGACAUCACAGUGGCAGAAUGUCCAGUUGACUCGGCAACCGCAGGCUCGUUCUGAUUUUAGCUUGCAGCCUGGGCUCCGGUGAUGUGAGGAGAAUCAGGCAGCGAGAUUAUGUUACCAGCCGAAGGAGGAGGCAGUUCGAGUAAAACAGGACCCAGUCUGAACCUUCGUCCCGCCGCACCAAAGCCACCUCUGCUUGGCCUCAAAUAAGACCAAAUUUACCGAAGCUUUGAGCUUCUAAGGUUGUUUAACCUCUACCGUGCAGAAACAUGGGAAGCUGCCUGGCUUUGAUUCCAGCCUCUGCCUUCCUCACUGUGUGACCUUGACUGAAUUACCCAGCCUUUCUGAGUGUCUCCUGUCUCAUGGCAAGACGUCAAGGGGAAGAUUUAGCCACCACCCAGCCCCUCUCCAGCUUGGUGGCCACAGGCCUGCUGUGAAUGGGGCGGGAAAGAGGAAGAAAGGAAGAGAUUCUCAUAGCGACUCCUCUUACUGUGCAAAGGCCCGCUCCUGGUCAAGUUCAUGCCCAGCACUUGGGUUUUUUAUCUGUUUGCUUACUGCUUCCUGGGUCAAAACAAAAAUAAAAUGCUGUGGGUCUUGUGGUUGCUCGACAA